rnacentral:rRNA from 1 species
GGGCCCGCACAAGCGGUGGAGCAUGUGGUUUAAUUCGAUGAUACGCGAGGAACCUUACCAGGGCUUAAAUGCAGAACGACAGAGGUGGAAACACCUCCUUCUUCGGACGGUCUGCAAGGUGCUGCAUGGUUGUCGUCAGCUCGUGCUGUGAAGUGUCGGGUUAAGUCCCAUAACGAGCGCAACCCCUAUUUCUAGUUGCCAGCGGUUCGGCCGGGGACUCUAGAGAAACUGCCAGCGUAAGCUGUGAGGAAGGUGGGGAUGACGUCAAAUCAUCACGGCCCUUACGUCCUGGGCUACACACGUGCUACAAUGGUAGGGACAGAGAGUUGCCAACCCGCGAGGGUGAGCU